AUUCUGCAUUCGGUCCUCGGUCACCUCUGCCCACAGCUCCAGGAGGUGAGGGUCCCAUCAGGGCACAGCAGGAGCUCUUCAGUCACGCCAUCACUGGAUUGGAUGACAGCCCCCUCCCCUCACUGCGAAGGGCUCUGAUUCAAAUGCUAAUGCCAUACCCAGAAGCAAUUUUAAUCUGCCAACCACACUGACUCGACCGUAUUCACUGUAAGAGGCAGCGGAGAGCUUCCGGUGAGUUUGAAGAGCUUCAGCCUCCUGGACAAUAUCUGAUGUUAAGUGGUAAAGAAUAGAUGGCGGCAGUCACAGCCCCUGUGAUGGAGAUUCUGAGAACAUUUCUGUUCCUGCUUAUGGAGAAUUCAGUGAUUUAGAGCAACCCUCCCCCUGAGAACAAAUAUCAAAGUGCUGGCUCCAAAAAAAGUCGCCCCUUCUGUCAGAUCCCAGGAUGUGCUUCCAGGUCACUGCCCUUAAACUGCUCUUGGAAAACUGAGGCGAAAAGAGAUAAGGAAGCAGCAGCCCAUUGAACCUCAUCUAGGGGCUAAG